rnacentral:rRNA from 1 species
AUUGUAGUCUGCAACCCGACUACAUGAAGCUGGAAUCGCUAGUAAUCGCGGAUCAGAAUGCCGCGGUGAAUACGUUCCCGGGUCUUGUACACACCGCCCGUCACACCAUGGGAGUCGGAAAUGCCCGAAGCCGGUGACCCAACCCGAAAGGGAGGGAGCCGUCGAAGGCAGGUCGGAUGACUGGGGUGAAGUCGUAACAAGGUAGC